GGCUCGGUAGCUCAGUUGGUAGAGCAACGGACUGAAAAUCCGUGUGUCGGCGGUUCGAGUCCGUCCCGAGCCACCA
rnacentral:tRNA from 1 species